UGUCAAAAUCCGAUUCUUCCUCUUUUAACCGCCUCUACAACCCUUAUCCGACCCCUCUAGACUAUAUCCACCCUUUGUAUAGCCUAAUGUUAUCAAAAGACUAGAUAGGAACGGAUAUUUACCUUUUUCUUUUUGGAAAUCGAGGUCCUUGCGUAGAGGGGAAGGAGAUCUACGUUUUUUCCUUCAGCUGGAAGUGCAACCGGAAUUCCUUUCUCUUUCUUUUUCUUCUUCUUCUUCCUCUUCCUUUCUUCCUUUCCUUUCCUCUCCUUCUUUUUCUUCCUCUCUGUCCGUCUGAGACUCCCUCUGUGACUCUUUCUCGGUUUCCAUCCAAAAGCCACAGCAAACCUCUAAUUAAAUCACAUCAAAACACUAUUCACCCUUUGUUUAAUAUUAUUAAAUUCCCAUUUUGCCCCUAACACUUCAACAUAUCUACCGUUAUGCCAUUAACUUUUGAUUCCUUCCAAUUUUACCCUUACCACUUCAA
rnacentral:lncRNA from 1 species